AUUGAACGCUGGCGGCAGGCUUAACACAUGCAAGUCGAGCGGGGGAAGGUAGCUUGCUACCGGACCUAGCGGCGGACGGGUGAGUAAUGCUUAGGAAUCUGCCUAUUAGUGGGGGACAACAUCUCGAAAGGGAUGCUAAUACCGCAUACGUCCUACGGGAGAAAGCAGGGGAUCUUCGGACCUUGCGCUAAUAGAUGAGCCUAAGUCGGAUUAGCUAGUUGGUGGGGUAAAGGCCUACCAAGGCGACGAUCUGUAGCGGGUCUGAGAGGAUGAUCCGCCACACUGGGACUGAGACACGGCCCAGACUCCUACGGGAGGCAGCAGUGGGGAAUAUUGGACAAUGGGGGAACCCUGAUCCAGCCACGCCGCGUGUGUGAAGAAGGCCUUAUGGUUGUAAAGCACUUUAAGCGAGGAGGAGGCUACUUUAGUUAAUACCUAGAGAUAGUGGACGUUUCUCGCAGAAUAAGCACCGGCUAACUCUGUGCCAGCCGCCGCAGUAA
rnacentral:rRNA from 1 species